UUGUAAUGUAAUGCCUACAAUGUUAAUGCAUCAGAUCCCAUUAGAACUUCGCAGUUAAGCACGCUUGGGUUAGAUUAGUACUAGGAUGGGUGACCUCCUGGGAAGUCCUAUUAUUUUACAUG
rnacentral:rRNA from 1 species